CAGCAGCAGCCACGGGAAUACGAAGGGUGCAAGCGUUAAUCGGAAUUACUGGGCGUAAAGCGUGCGUAGGCGGUGAGUUAAGUCUGCUGUGAAAUCCCCGGGCUCAACCUGGGAAUGGCAGUGGAUACUGGCUCGCUAGAGUGUGUCAGAGGAUGGUGGAAUUCCCGGUGUAGCGGUGAAAUGCGUAGAGAUCGGGAGGAACAUCAGUGGCGAAGGCGACUAUCUGGGCCAACACUGACACUGAGGCACGAAAGCGUGGGGAGCAAACAGGAUUAGAUACCCCAGUAGUCCCUGUCUCUUAUAC
rnacentral:rRNA from 1 species